rnacentral:rRNA from 1 species
UGGNUUAAUUUGGANGCAACGGCGGAAGAACCUUACCAGGGGCUUGACAUUCAGGNGAAGGCGGGGGANAACGUCGUGGCCGAGAGGANGCCUGNAACAGGGUGGUUGCAUGGGCUGUCGUCAGCUCGUGUCGUGAGAUAGUUGGGUUAAGUCCCGCAACGAGCGCAACCCUCGUCGCAUGUUGCCAGCGGNUCGGCCGGGCACCCAUGCGAGACCGCCGGCGUUAAGCCGGAGGAAGGUGGGGANGACGUCAAGUCAUCAUGCCCCUUAUGUCCUGGGCUGCACACGUGCUACAAUGGUCGGCACAAUGGGCUGCCAGCCCGCGAGGGCGAGCGAAUCCCUAAAGCCGGCCCCAGUUCGGAUUGGAGGCUGCAACCCGCCUCCAUGAAGUCGGAGUUGCUAGUAAUCGCGGAUCAGCACGCCGCGGUGAAUGCGUUCCCGGGCCUUGUACACACCGCCCGUCACACCACCCGAGUCGAUUGCACCCGAAGUCGCCGGCCCAACCCGCAAGGGAGGGAGGCGCCGAAGAGUGUGGUUGGUAAGGGGGGUGAAGUCGUAACAAGGUAGCCGUANGAGAACGUGCGGCUGGAUCACCU